rnacentral:sRNA from 1 species
AUCUUGGAGCCUAAAUGUGAUGUACAUGUCAGGAAAAUUUGUUAUUGUUGGGCAUCUUGCUCUAUCUUGGCAUAUUUAUAAAGUGAAUUUAUGGAAGUAUUUUGGGGGAAUAUAUUCUUAUUCACUUGAGGUGUCAAAAACUUAAAAGUCAGGUGAGAGUUCUCAGCAAGUACAUCGGCAGCCAAGUCAAAAUACUGAAACAACAGAGAUAAAGUAAACUUGUCAAAACCCCAUGCUUUUCUGGAUGUAAAACUAACAUUAAUUUCCAUCUACUUGUAACAAUAUUAACCUCAUAUUUGACAUAGAGGAGAAGCAAGUUGCCAAAUGUCUCCGGUGGGAAUGGAUUCUGCUGGAGCAGAAACUGCAGUUUCUCGAAUCCCUGGGUGGGGUGCUGCUCCAUGUUCAUCAGGGCCUGGUUAUGGAGGGUCACAGCAUCCAGCUCCUCCUCAGCCCUCGGGGGCAUAUCAGUGAGUGCUUCACAGGCUGCAUCAACUGGAAGAAAGAGACGGAGGGCUGAUUUCAACAAAAUUAUGGAACUAAAGAGAAGACAAAUGAAUGCAUGUACACCUAAAAAAUAAAUCUUCAUGGAUAGAAAAGCAUAAAAUACCUGACUCUGGUACUCAGGAUUAUCAAUCUGACAGGCCACUUUCAUAGCUUCCUGAUAGAGACAGGCUUUGUACAAAGCUUGGGCAUAAUACAGUUUGUAGUCUUCUAUCUCUGGAUGCAUCAUACUCAGUCCUUCAUAGCAGUCAGCAGCAUUAACAAAGUCUUGCAUUUGAAAGUAGCAGUAGCCGAGCAAAGACAAUGCAGCUCUGGACUAAACAAAGGAAAAAAACUUUUUCAAAAUUUUACAGAUUAGACUAAGUACAUGUAAUUAAAUAUUAAUUCUUGAUUUAGAUAACUUUAUUAUGGCGUGAUUAUUGGACUGAGGAAAUUUAGGAUGUGUACAUGUAUUCGUUUUAUAAAUAUUUCUUGCUGUG